rnacentral:rRNA from 1 species
UGCGGGGAUUAGUGGCGAACGGGUGAGUAACACGUGAGUAACCUGCCCUUAACUCUGGGAUAAGCCUGGGAAACUGGGUCUAAUACCGGAUAUGACUCCUCAUCGCAUGGUGGGGGGUGGAAAGCUUUUGUGGUUUUGGAUGGACUCGCGGCCUAUCAGCUUGUUGGUGAGGUAAUGGCUCACCAAGGCGACGACGGGUAGCCGGCCUGAGAGGGUGACCGGCCACACUGGGACUGAGACACGGCCCAGACUCCUACGGGAGGCAGCAGUGGGGAAUAUUGCACAAUGGGCGCAAGCCUGAUGCAGCGACGCCGCGUGAGGGAUGACGGCCUUCGGGUUGUAAACCUCUUUCAGUAGGGAAGAAGCGAAAGUGACGGUACCUGCAGAAGAAGCGCCGGCUAACUACGUGCCAGCAGCCGCGGUAAUACGUAGGGCGCAAGCGUUAUCCGGAAUUAUUGGGCGUAAAGAGCUCGUAGGCGGUUUGUCGCGUCUGCCGUGAAAGUCCGGGGCUCAACUCCGGAUCUGCGGUGGGUACGGGCAGACUAGAGUGAUGUAGGGGAGACUGGAAUUCCUGGUGUAGCGGUGAAAUGCGCAGAUAUCAGGAGGAACACCGAUGGCGAAGGCAGGUCUCUGGGCAUUAACUGACGCUGAGGAGCGAAAGCAUGGGGAGCGAACAGGAUUAGAUACCCUGGUAGUCCAUGCCGUAAACGUUGGGCACUAGGUGUGGGGGACAUUCCACGUUUUCCGCGCCGUAGCUAACGCAUUAAGUGCCCCGCCUGGGGAGUACGGCCGCAAGGCUA